GACGCGCUGCAGGGGCCCGGGUGUUUCGUUGCAUCCCCACUGGGAAGCGGGCGACCCGGAGCAGUUCCUAAGUGUGCAGAGCUGCCCAGCCCCGCCCCGGCCCCAGGGAGCCAGAGCCGCGGGGAGGCGGGAUGUGGUUUAGCUCAGCUGUAAGCCACCCUCGUAACGCCUAGGGAUGGAGAAGAGGGCUGACGGGGAGCUGGGAGCGGCCCUGCCAGAAAUCUGCAGUCGUCUUUUCUUGCGAGUCAGGCCCGUCCCUGGACAAUGCAGAAUUCCCAUGUGAAAGCCACCCUCCAGGGACCAGGAGGAAAAGCACACUGUCAUCAUCAGAGGCAGGGAGUUGAGGCCAAGAAGGAUCUGUACAGACCACGUCGUGAAAACAGCCUUCUCUUCCUUUUCAACUCCCCCUAUUUCACAAUCACUGCUGUUUGUUCAACCUAAAUGCAUGUGAGCAUUUAGACCUAACCACUUUGGGGGGCAUCAUUUUCCUGUGAAUGCUUUUUUGUAAGUGUAAAAUAGAAUGUGUAUGCUUUUUUCUUGUU